CAUCAAAUCAUGUUACUGUACAAUAAAUAAGAAUAAAAGCAUAUAAAAUCAUAUCAAAAUACGUACAGUAAAUGUUAAGAUACACACCAUAAAGUAGUGUAGCUAAGUGAACGAAAUGAUGAAAUCAGCUGUGUUAUCUUAUUUAUCGGUCUUUCAAAGCUCAUAUUGCACAGUCGUUCCAAUAUCUACCGUUAGGCGUCGUUGUCACUCGUGAUUCCCGCGAUUGUUUUGAAUUCAGAUUUGUUUACAGAAAGGAAGAGCGUCGGGUAG